rnacentral:tRNA from 1 species
GCCUUCGUGGUGUAGUGGUGAGCACACUCAGCUCGUAUUCGAGUGGUUGAAGUUCGAGUCCAGGCGAGGGCA